UCAGAGUGCUCUUCUGUUUCUGUCUUUUACUCUGAUCAGAACAGCUAAAUUGUUUUCUUGUUGCUUGCCUCCCCUUUUGCUGCUCGGAGAUGUUCACGUG